UACGUAGGGGGCUAGCGUUGUCCGGAAUCAUUGGGCGUAAAGCGCGCGUAGGCGGCUUAGCAAGUUAGAGGUGAAAGCCCGAAGCUCAACUUCGGAAUUGCCUUUAAAAACUGCAAAGCUAGAAUCAUGGAGAGGUGAGUGGAAUUCCGAGUGUAGAGGUGAAAUUCGUAGAUAUUCGGAAGAACACCAGUGGCGAAGGCGACUCACUGGACAUGUAUUGACGCUGAGGUGCGAAAGCGUGGGGAGCAAACAGGG
rnacentral:rRNA from 1 species